rnacentral:sRNA from 1 species
GGAACCUAGGAAAGAGAGAAUUGUGUUAGCUUGUAGCAAUGUUAACGAUGGAAAUUUGAGUUAUGUCAUCUCUUCCUCUCUCCUUAGGAAAAGAAGCCCGGAAAAGAGAGUUGAAAAAGGGUGCCCGAGGAUGCUCUUGAUGUCUUGAGGAACCCCCUUGAGCCAUUUGUGUUCACUGACAAUGUUCUCAUUACCUGACUUCCCGGAACUGUUUCAGAUCGAUGCACAGGGGAACCCCGGGAGGAGAAGGCAGCUAGCAGUUACUUGCUUUUCCUUGGGAGACUAUAUCUCAGGCCGUUCUAAAACUUUCUACCUCCUCAAGCUCUUGAGCCUCCUGCUUCUGCCGCCAACAUGCUGGGACUGCAGGUGUCUGCACCACCACACCAGCUUGACGCUGCAGGUCUCCAUUGCAUUUGCUCUCCUACGUGGGGCCAGUGCACCUUCCCAUACCGGAUUGUUCUAGACAGCUGCUCCAGCUCACUUCUCCACUGAAGUCAGUCUAGGGAACUCCUGGACGUGGUACUGGCACAGACACCUAAUGCCUCCCUCAGGACUCUCAAAUCCUCCCCUGAGACUGUUUCUUGUUCUUUCCUCAUCUUUCCAUUGGCAAAGUCAUACUCUAUUGUAUGUCCCCAAAGUUCUUAUGAGCCAGGCCAAGUUCCCAGUACCAAGGAGCUGACCAUUCAGAAGUAAGACAAGAGCUCAAACUGGUAGCAAAAGAAGAUUCAAAGGAGGAAACAUGAAACAGAAAAAUUAUUCUACACUGCCUUGUCUCCCCCGUAAUUGUUCUGUUGUCCCUCACAUGACCUAUACUGGUUACCAUAGCAACGUGUUUUCAUGUUUCUUAAAAGGUUCAGAGUAUGCCAACUAAUGUUAGCUUGUUUUUCUCCCUUAAGUGGUUUCUUUCAGCAAAACAAUGUGUGCCAAACACACACACACACACACACACACACACACACACACACACACACACACAAUCUGCUCUUUAUUACUGGAUUUACAAAGAAUGAUUUAUGUCAAAAUGUUUCAGAUCAUCAACAUUCUUGGCAUGCGUUCUAAAAAAACUUGUGGCAGCUUAAUUUUACCUGUGACCUUUGCCAGUGACAAACCAUGGUGUUGUGGCCUUGGGGGAGGGGCUUAGCCUCUGUGCCUGUUGCUACCCAUGAAAAGGAAAGUUAUCUUUUGAACAUAUACUGAAGAUUCCAGUGAGAAGAAAAUUACUUAGCAUGUGGAAAGGCUCAUAGCUGGCCCUCGGGCAUGCCGAAGGACUCAGACCUCUACCUCCAUUAUGGGUCUCUCCUGUUUCAUCGUAGCCUGGACUUCAGUGCUCCGAAAUACCUUCUCUCAACAUGCGGUGCACCACUGACCCUGAAGUAGAGUGACUGUCUUGAGGGGAGGGGUAGAGCUGUUUAUGCUGUCUUAUGAUUGUAGUCUUGACACUAGGAGAGGCUGAGGCAGGAGGAUUGCUGCAAGUCCAAGGCCAGCCUGGAGUACAUAGUGAACUCUAGGCUGAGUCCCAGUCUGAAAGAACCAGUAAAAGAAUCUGACCUGAGUUAAAAGUGAGUGAAUGGAGUCAGGGUCAGCAGCUUGUGAGGAUGCCUGAGCCCCUGAGCUGGUUAGUCUGCUGUGGCAAUGACAUGACAGAACCUACGUGUCCACUACCUGCUCAAACAGAAGCAAGAAACUGGGAAGGCCUUUGCAUAUGAAGGACGGCUAAUGACUUAAUAGUAUAAACAUGUGCUUUAGUGAGACUGACAGAGAGGUCAGAGACAGACACGGAAAGAGAAGCUCUACUACAUUUUCAGUGCCCACUUUUUCCUAGGGAAUAUUCUAAAGAUUAACAGGAAGGAAAAGCUAAUUUAACCUGGUAGCAUGGUGUCUUAGUUAAGGUUUUACUGCU